rnacentral:rRNA from 1 species
GCUUGUCUCAAAGAUUAAGCCAUGCAUGUCUAAGUAUAAACAAAUCUAUACUGUGAAACUGCGAAUGGCUCAUUAUAUCAGUUAUAGUUUAUUUGAUGGUUCUUGCUACUUGGAUAACCGUAGUAAUUCUAGAGCUAAUACAUGCACAAAGGCCCGACUCACGAAGGGCUGUAUUUAUUAGAUGGAAACCAAUGCGGGGCAACCCGGUAUAUGGUGAUUCAUAAUAACUUUCGGAUCGAUCUUCGGAUCGAUGCAUCAUUCAAGUUUCUGCCCUAUCAGCUUUGGAUGGUAGGGUAUUGGCCUACCAUGGCUUUAACGGGUAACGGAGAAUUAGGGUUCGAUUCCGGAGAGGGAGCCUGAGAAAUGGCUACCACAUCCAAGGAAGGCAGCAGG